CUCAAUGAAAUAAAACGAGAAGGCAAGAAUAGAGAAAAAAGGAAAAAGGGUAAAAAGGAAUGAACAAAGUCUCCAAGAAAUAUCGGACUAUGAAAAAAGACCCAAUCUACAUAUGACAGGUGUACCUGAAUGUGAUGGAGAGAAUGAAUCCAAGCUGGAAAAUACUCUUCAGGAUACUAUCCAG